UUUGGUCUCUGCCGGUCUCUGCCGAGCUCUGCCGAGCGGUGGAGGCUGUGUGUUGUGUUUCAAUCGGCCAAACGGGACGAGACCAGUCGUCCAAUUGCUGACAAGAAAAUCAAAGGGUAGGAAUGGGAAUGUAUCCAAUCAGCGUCGACGUUGUUUCAGAAGCAUGACGGGCGAUAGAGCUACCGCCAAAGGCUUUCGUUAGUGCUCGGUAGAACUCGGAGAUCUACUCCAACACGUUUUUGGUCGUGACUCGUGACGGUCGUGACGCAUACGGAAUAAACAUGGAAGCCAGUGCGCCUACAACCAGCAGCAGCAUGGAUACCGGAUCUCAGCAGCCACUGAAUUCAGUUCGGUCUCUUCUCCAGUUCGAGAGGAGAACUAUGGUGGAAAAACUUAAUAUCAAAGAGCUUGGACCAGAUCAGCCCGACGUAAAGAUAAGCCAGCAGGAGGAGGAGAGAGGUAAACUGUACACACGAGGCUUCGGGAAGGCUUGGCUAGCUGGAUGCAAUCACGCUAAUGCGUUAUUUUGCUUUCCAAACGACUGUGACAGAUGAGGCAUGGAUUGAGUCAGGAGUUACGAACAUGAAACAUUUUUCUGAGAAGGUGAAGAAACAUGAGUUAUCCCGGGCGCACAUGGACAACACGGUGAAGCUAGCUAUGCUAGGCAGAGCUAACAUAGCCAUGCAGCUCGAGACGAGGGACGCAGGCUUGCAGUGAAUAAACACAAUGAAGAAGUGGAUCAGAACCGGCACAUUUUGUCCAAGAGAGAGAUGUCAACACAGUGUAUGAGCACAAGGAUGACCUCCUCAGAUUUUUCCAGAUGAUCAGACUCGGAUGACUUUGAUCCAGUCACUGAGAGAGAGGCAGGAGGAUUUGUGAGAAUGCUGGAGGAAGAAGAUUUCGGCUUUCUGCUGGCAUUGUGUCACAAGAUCAUGCCACAUGUGGACAUGCUGUUCAACCAGCUGCAGAAGAGGAACAUUGAGUCUGUCUCCAUCACAGGGGUCAUCCAGAGCUUCACCAACAGCAUGCAAAAGAUCAGAUGCAUUUUUCACGGAGGCUUUUUAUUGUUUUAUGUUAGAUUCGUUUUUGUAAAUAAUGAAAGAAAUCAGGAAAUCUUCUAGAAAUAGGAAAUGUUCCUCAAGAUCUGUUGAUGAGGAGCAAGAUGUGCCCUCAUCGUUUUUCCGUCACAAACGCAGAAAACAAAACCUCCAUAUACAUCUGUGGUUGAGGAUUCAGGUGCGAGUGAAGAUGAUUUCCCAUCACAGCUGCAAGAUUCUUCUGAUGAGCCAUUCACCAGCAAUGGGCAGUGUCAGAGGAAGGAUCUUGCUGGAGAUGCUCCACAUCUACUGGACUCCUGGACAACAAAGUGAAACCCAGGUACUGUCAACCCACGCCACCCAGAUUUAUCCCCAGAAGAACUCCUGGCUAUCAGCUUCCCGUCAUGGGUAAACCAGGUACACGCAGUGCAAAAAAGCACUCCCUGGAUGUGCUAAGAAUGCAAGAAAGUAUUUUGUCUGCAGCAGGACAGGAAUUGCUCUGCAGAAGACCACAGCAGCUAAAAACACCUGAACAUUGACAGACAAUAUCACCUGAAAGUCAGACACUGAAAGUUGAAAAUUUAAAAAAAUCAAUACAAGGUUGUAAUCCAUGUUAGGUUUGAUUUCUGCCAUUUCAGCUGUUAAACUGUUCAUCUGCCCCGUUUUCAGCCUCUGACCCAAGCAUCUGUACUGUCUUGUGGUUCUGUGUACAGUGAGUUUGCAGCGCUGCAGUGCUCUUGUUCAGGCUUGGUGUAGAGGCCUUUUACACCUGUUGAUUUACUGUGAUCUUGUCAUGGCUCUGCUUUUCCUCUGCUGCUGUGUUCUUAACCCCUUCUUUCCACAGGAGCCGUCAGCAGCACGUUACUGCAGCAGCACGUCAUAGCUGCUGAUAUGAACCGCUGUGGUCAACAGAACCUUUUCCACCGGAGCCUUCAGCAGCCGUCAGCAGCGCGAGUCGGCCGCGUCUCAGGAGCAGCAUGUCGUGGCCUUUACGCGCCGGUUCUAUUUUCUACUCGCGACGCCUCUGAAACGGGUCAAGUUCGACAUUUUUGGGGAAGGAAAGACAGGAAAUCGGACGCGGAAACGUAGCGAAGCUCCCGAGAUUUUCAGAAUAAAGAAACGUACUGCCUUCGGUUGCUCUACUUUAAAAAAGGUUACUAACUGUGCGUCCCCGUGAGAAGUUAUCACCUAGCUAGCGGUCUCCUUUGUUUUUCAGGUCCGUAUUGGCGAUUAUAAAAUGGACAGAACAUAAAGCACAAACCUUUUGGAGCCAUGUUGUAGUUUUCUCCUGCUUGUUGUUGUGUUUACUGACGAAGUCACUCGUGUGACUUCGUGCUCUGUCGGUGACAGCUGCUCCCCUGCUGCUUCACGUCUCGUGGGAAGGGCCAAGCAGCAGCUUGACGUGCUGCUGCAGUAAGGUGCUGCUGACGGCUCCAGUGGAAAGAAGGGGUAAAUGUUUGCAGGUGAGCAGGUUGGAGAGCCACAGCUGCAGCUGAUGACCAUCAGCCAGGCCAGAGGAUAUAAGGAGCAGUGUUGCCACACGUCAGCGCCGGUUGAUACUCUAUUGUUGGGUACUCUAGCUCUCCUCGUUCCUGUUUAAAUCUAGCCUCGUGUUUUUUCUCCCCCGUGCUCAGUUUUAUUCUCCUUGUCUGCUCCAGUACCAGCCCUGGAUUCUUACCUCAGCUUCCUGCUGUCUGAAGUGGAUUUUUCACCCAACGCCGCUCAACUCCUCUGGUGUCCCGCUCUCCACCUCUCACCUGUCCUGGAUUACUUCACUGCCUGCUACUCCUCUCCACCAGACCAUCUCCAGCUCAGACCUGACUUGCCUCCCUCUCCUGCUCAAAACCCCACUUCACACAGUAAGACUAUGCCACCAUUACUCCAGUGUUUGCCUGGUUGUCAGUAUUCAUUUUGUUAUCUUCUAUUUUAGAAUUGGAAUACUCCCCCUGGCCCAGUUUGGAUCAGCGCUUUUUGUUAUUAUUUUUAUUUAUAAUAAAACAUGUAUUAUUUUACUCAGCUCUCUCUCCGUGUGUGAUUCUUUCAUGUGGGUUAAAAGACUGCAGCCCUACAUGACAAAUCUGGAUGAGCUUGUUGUGUCCUUACUGUUCCCUGUGUGUAGCCUAGUUUGUAACUGAAUAAAUGUUGUGAUUUCUGGUAGUGAUUGAGUCCUUGUUGUUUGAGAUAUUCUCAGGUACCAACACAAACCUGGGUUUAAUCGUGAUGGUUAUUACCAUAAGUGAGGCUCGUAAUUCCAUAGACAUAGGAUGGUUAAAUGGUUAAAAAUGUUAGAAAGACAAAUGUUAAUUUUACAACACUGUUAUUUGACAUCAAUGAUGUAUUGUGAUGUAAUUACAGUUGACAUUUUGUGUAAUAUACAGAAAUUGAACAGAAACAUGAAAAUCAAAUCAUAUUCAGUAGGUGUAACAUGGCUACAAUCUUCAUUAAAUAAUAGCUAACAGAAGUUAUUUGACAAAUGUUUGUUUUCAAAAGGGUUAUGUAAUGCAAAUGUUCCUUAUUUUCUUGUUGUCAUUGGGGUCUUCAUUAUUACAUGUAGCAAAGAUUAUGUAUUUCAGUGUGGAGAAAGCAAAGUUGUGGGCAGGUGAGAAGAUCCAUAUGGAAUCAGGAAGUGUACAUGAGCAACAGUCUAUAAGAGAAUGGUGAUGAUGCAUUUAGGAAACAGCUUACAGUGUUUAUUUGGAGUGUGGACAGGACAUGCACUGAAGACCAGAUGAUUUAAGUAAGGGAGGCCAUCCAUGGAGCCAGGGAACAGAUUCAAACGUGGUUCUGGAGGAGAGGAUGGUAGCUAUCAAGGCAUCAUGAGUUGCUGGAGUUUUGCAAUCCUACGGAAUGAACAAAGGCAGAUGAAGAAGGGGUAAAGUUUCAAAAAGAUAAACUGACUGGAUGUUACCACUUAGGAAUACAAUCUGGUGGUGAGGAGCUGUUGACCUGAUUCCUUUAUUCCUCCUAUCUGAUAGGUGGGCCAGCCCCCUGUGUGGAGUUACCAUCCAACAGCCUACAGGACAAAAUGAAAAGUUCACACGGGUUACAGACUACAUUUUGACAUGUGUGUUAUUCUUCUGGUAUUAUUUAAUGUGUAUAUAUUACUGAUAUUAGUACAUUUUUCAUUUUAAAGGUAAUGUCAUAUGCAAGGAUCAACUCCUUUAUAUGGAUGUACGUUAAAAACGGUACAAAUAAACUCUAAUGCAAGAUAUGAGAGUACUGUAGAAUGUUGUAAAAGCUGAAUGUCAGGCUCUAUCAUGGAGAAUGAAAUGACUAUAUAUUAAGCGUUCUUGCAAGAAAAGGCAAAGUACAGUAGACUGAUAUCCUAGUAUAAAAUUACUCACAUAAAAUAACUGUCACACAUUUUAGCAUGUGCAAAUGGGGUAGGAACCUGCAGCGUGCUGAUAUGAUCAUUUUUGCAGCUGAUUCCUUUUUCUAGUAAAAAAUCACGUGUAAAACAUACACAGCAUUGUAAUUUAAAGAAAUGGGGAAAAAAUCACAUGUAUGUUUAAUGCUCAGUUAAUCAUUACAGUGUUUUAAUUGAAACAUGAUGUCAAAGUAUUAUUAAGAGGUAUUAAUUACAUAAUUAUUAGUGUAACUGGAUUUUACAUACCACCCACCUUUCAUUCAAUACGU